UUUGGCAAUGCGUAUGUAUACUACAAUUGGAACAACACAGAGGGGAACUCAUCCCCUGUGCAAGGAUGGCAUGCCAAUCUGUGAGGUAUCCUCUAUUUUU
ensembl:snRNA U6 U6 spliceosomal RNA